CUUUUAUUCUGAAAGUGUGCGGAAAUUAGCCGUUAGCCGGUGUUCCUGAUUGAGAGAGGAGUUUAAUGGAGAGGACGGCCAUGUCACUGUCACUCAUAUGUUUGGCGUCACCGUCACAGAGGAAUAACUGCGAAACCACCCCUGUGUUCCACAAGGUGGCGUAGUCCCGGACUAGCAGACCGACCUGGUAACAUUGGUACCAUGACCCUGGAUGUUUUCUUCUCUACGGAUCAACGCCAGAGGGAUCAUCGAUGGUUGUUGGAACAGAAACACAUCCAGCCGAGCACAUUACUACAUCAGCCUGAGACGGUAUUGGAAACAGCGUGUUUCCUCUGUGUCUCUCUCUGUUUGACUCGAGCAAAGCCGUAAAGAUGGUAAAUGAUGUCUGAGUGUCGUCUGAUUCCGAGCGGUCGACGGCGACGACCGUGAAUGGUUGACAAAAGCGUUCAGGUGCGGUCAUAAUCAUCCAGACACCGAGGAAAGUCUGGGCUCAUUCUCACAUUUGAAAAUCUGGAAAAAAAUUGAGAAUAAAAUCUAAACGCACCGUCGAACGAUUCGGCUCCGAUGUGAUUAAAACGUUACGAGAAUGUAAUGAAUAAAAGGGUCAAAGACGGCGAUUUUUUUUUCUCUCUCUUCCUACAGAUUAAAGUAGACGUAGUCGUUUAUCUAAGGAAUUUAAUUUAUCAGGAAAAUUCAAGUCAAGAGGAGUCGAAUCAAAUGAGUUGUUUUAUUUUAUCUUAGUUUCAUAAAACGUCUUCACAGUUCAGACAUGAAACCCCACGAGAGACUUCUCUGAUAAAAUCAUAAAUAGACAAAAACAGUCAAUAUUACAGUUUAUUCAUAUUAUAUUAUGGAUGAGUUGGUGAGAUUCUGAGCUGAGAGAGAAAAAAAACGUGUUGUUGAGGUUCAACUUUUAACAUUUACGAGAUUUAAAUAUAUUUUGGUCAGAAUAAUCUGGACGCAGCAUCGUUUUUAAAAAACCGAAGGGUUGGAAAUUUUAUUUCAAUAUCCCGUCCAAUAACAAAGGCCUCCGUGUGGACGCGGCUCUGACUGGAGGCCACGACGAGAGCACCAAAUAUAUAUAUAUCUAAAAGAGACGCCAAUUUAAAAUAUAUGUUCCAACACACUGACUAAAUGAUCAAACGUUCAACCUCUUAACCUGAUUGAGAGCGAAUCAAACCCUCAUCCUGGCACCCAACGAGGGGCUACUGAGGGUCACGGGCCUGAGGGCCCAUCAAAGGCGGCGGCGUGUUAAGGAAAGUCUUCCGCCUCAGCGACAUCACAGGACAUCAGUGCCGUAACUCGGGGCCUGCCACGGAUAACCCUCAGCUGGCUAAAGCCAGCCCCCCAGCUGGGCCUGCACCCGGCCUUAAUACCUCCAUAUUGUCGCCCAGCUUUUGUGCCCCCACGGGGAGAAAAAAAAAGGAGGAGGAGGAGGAGGAAGGUGCAGGUUUCCAGGAGAGGUGGGGAGCAGAGGGGGAAUGAAGGAAACAGAGGGGGGAGUAAAACAGAGAGAGGCAGAGAGGCAGAGAGGGAGGAGGUGAAAUUGAGGAGUGUGAAUGGGAACAGAUUGGGUAAUUACAGUGUGGUUACUGCCCUCUGUGGUGAGGAGGAGGAGUGAAAAUGGCGACAACAACACGGCCCCAGAACAAGUUAAACAGGCGAGUCAGGGACCGCCAACGAGGACACGGGCCUUCAUUUGGACACACGUCAGGCCUUGUAGUGGAUGACAGAGCAGAUCCAGGAAUGAGUAGUGUGUUAAAACUAAGGUCCGGACACAAGAUGGGCCGCUGUCCUGAGGUUGAAACCUGGGGUCGAGAUGGUAUUUUUAACGAUAUGUGUGUGGAGUGUGUGUCAGAGCAUUGAAUGAUGGGAAAUAAAAUGACUUUUUUUAGGGCAAUCAUUUUGACAUUUUGACCUGCUGUAACAGAAACCCACCACAAGGUGUGAGUUUAGUUUGGUGGUCGUGAUCUUGCUUGCUAACAGCAAACAUGUCAAGUGACUAAUUAGCAUUUCAGUCAAUAUAUAUACUGUAUAAACAUAUAUUUGUGUCGUGCUUCUGUUCAGACCGUGGUCCAAUAAAAACCAGAUCUGGACCUAAUUGUUCAUGUAAACGUACGGGACGAGGGACAUAGACACAGAGAGAGAGAGAGAGAGAUUAUCUCUAAAAGACGGAGCGGGACAAUAAGAACAUCGGAUGACGGACGCGUUAUUGAAGCUGAGCUCCUCAUAAUACUGUGAAUCAGGGCAGAGGGAGAGAGAGAGAGAGAGAGAGAGGGAAAUAAACGAGCGGACAACAUGAGGGGAGAGAGAGAGAGAGAGAGAGCGCAGUAUCAGGCCGACUAAGAAGGGAUAACAAUAAUACCGCGUAUAAAACCAUCAGAUAUUACACCUCUUAUUCCCCGACGCUCAAAUGCGACACUAAUCUUAUUUAUAUAAGAGCUUUAGGGGUUGCAGCGUGCCAGCUAACCACACCGAUAAAGAGAGCCCUGUUAGAGGGCCAG